GCGUCGGUGGUAUAACGGUUAGCAUAGCUGCCUUCCAAGCAGCUGACCCGGGUUCGACUCCCGGCCGACGGCA
rnacentral:tRNA from 1 species